AUGUGCCCCGGCCACGCUCCGGUUCUGAGCGCACCAUCCGUCCCACCUGAUGACUGCCCGCGACGCGUUGUGGGCC
rnacentral:sRNA from 1 species